rnacentral:rRNA from 1 species
AUUGAACGCUGGCGGCAGGCCUAACACAUGCAAGUCGAGCGGAUGAAGGGAGCUUGCUCCUGGAUUCAGCGGCGGACGGGUGAGUAAUGCCUAGGAAUCUGCCUCGUAGUGGGGGAUAACGUCCGGAAACGGGCGCUAAUAGCGCAUACGUCCUGAGGGAGAAAGUGGGGGAUCUUCGGACCUCACGCUCUCAGAUGAGCCUAGGUCGGAUUAGCUAGUUGGUGGGGUAAAGGCCUACCAAGGCGACGAUCCGUAACUGGUCUGAGAGGAUGAUCAGUCACACUGGAACUGAGACACGGUCCAGACUCCUACGGGAGGCAGCAGUGGGGAAUAUUGGACAAUGGGCGAAAGCCUGAUCCAGCCAUGCCGCGUGUGUGAAGAAGGUCUUCGGAUUGUAAAGCACUUUAAGUUGGGAGGAAGGGCAGUAAGUUAAUACCUUGCUGUUUUGACGUUACCAACAGAAUAAGCACCGGCUAACUUCGUG